rnacentral:rRNA from 1 species
UACGGAGGAUGCGAGCGUUAUCCGGAUUUAUUGGGUUUAAAGGGUGCGUAGGCCGACUUUUAAGUCAGCGGUGAAAUUUUCCGGCUCAACCGGGACAUUGCCGUUGAAACUGAUAGUCUUGAGUGUAAAUGAGGUAGGCGGAAUGUGUGGUGUAGCGGUGAAAUGCUUAGAUAUCACACAGAACUCCAAUUGCGAAGGCAGCUUACUGGCAUACAACUGACGCUGAGGCACGAAAGUGUGGGUAUCAAACAGGAUUAGAUACCCUGGUAGUCCACACAGUAAACGAUGAUAACUAGCCGUUGGCGAUAUACAGUCAGUGGCAGAGCGAAAGCAUUAAGUUAUCCACCUGGGGAGUACGCCGGCAACGGUGAA